rnacentral:ncRNA from 1 species
UCUUUUGGCAAGCCAAGCGUCCAUAGCGACGUUGCUUUUUGAUCCUUCGAUGUUGGUUCUUCCCUAUCGUUGCGAAGCAGACUUUGCCAAGCGUUGGAUUGUUCACCACCAAUAAGAAAUGUAAGUUUGGUUUAGAUCGUCGUCAGACAGGUU